rnacentral:rRNA from 1 species
AACGAACGCUGGCGGCAUGCCUAACACAUGCAAGUCGAACGAGACCUUCGGGUCUAGUGGCGCACGGGUGCGUAACGCGUGAGAACCUGCCCUUAGGUUCGGAAUAACUCCCCGAAAGGGGUGCUAAUACCGGAUAAUGUCUUCGGACCAAAGAUUUAUCGCCUUUGGAUGGGCCCGCGUUGGAUUAGCUGGUUGGUAGGGUAAAAGCCUACCAAGGCGACGAUCCAUAGCUGGUCUGAGAGGAUGAUCAGCCACACUGGGACUGAGACACGGCCCAGACUCCUACGGGAGGCAGCAGUGGGGAAUAUUGGACAAUGGGCGAAAGCCUGAUCCAGCAAUGCCGCGUGAGUGAUGAAGGCCUUAGGGUUGUAAAGCUCUUUUACCCGGGAUGAUAAUGACAGUACCGGGAGAAUAAGCUCCGGCUAACUCCGUG